rnacentral:misc_RNA from 1 species
GAUGAAGAACGCAGCGAAAUGCGAUAAGUAAUGUGAAUUGCAGAAUUCAGUGAAUCAUCGAGUCUUUGAACGCACAUUGCGCCCCCUGGUAUUCCGGGGGGCAUGCCUGUCCGAGCGUCAUUGCUGCCCUCAAGCACGGCUUGUGUGUUGGGCCUCCGUCCUCCUCCCGGGGGACGGGCCCGACAGGCAGCGGCGGCACCGCGUCCGGUCCUCGAGCGUAUGGGGCUUCGUCACCCGCUCUUGUAGGCCCGGCCGGCGCUUGCCGACACAUCAAUCUUUUUUCCAGGUUGACCUCGGAUCAGGUAGGGAUACCCGCUGAACUUAAGCAUAUCAAUAAGCGGAGGA